GUGUGUGAGUGCGGGUGAUCCGCUGCUGAAGAACAAAGUGGAACAGAAGAGCAACAACUGAGAGGAAGAUGGACGACGGCUACGUGCUGAGCAUCCCCGUCCCGCUGUUCCGCGGCGGCUCGGACUCCAACCUGAACACCAGCGACCUGCAGCAGAAGAUCCUGAAGGUGUCGGAGCAGCUGAAGGUGGAGCAGAUGGAGCAGGACGAGAACGUGGCCGAGUUCCUCAAGCUGGUGAACAUGGCAGAUAAACAGCAGGUGGCGAGAAUCCGGCGCGUCUUCGAGAAGAAGAACCAGAAAAUGGCUCAGAACAUCAGCCAGCUGCAGAAGAAACUGGAGCAGUACCAUCGACGCAUGAAGGAGAGCGAGAACAACAACACCGCCAAGAACGUCACCUCAAAAGAUCAGUCCAAAGAUCAGCAGAUCAAGGAUCUCUCCAGAGAUCUACUCAAGGAAUCUCCCAAGGACGUGAACGGCGGCGGACGUCAACACGGGGCAGAUAAAAUCAGAACGUACGGUCCAGGAGUCUCGCUCACGCCACCGUCCAUCUUCAACAAGCCGCGAGAGUUCGCCAACCUCAUCCGCAACAAAUUCGGCAGCGCCGACAACAUCCCUCAGCUGAAGAACAGUCUGGAUGAAGGUGGAGGUCGGGUGCUCAGUGGAAGCACCACCAUAGUGGAAAGAUCCAAGUACCAGAGCGAUGACGAGUCCUCCACAGGAACCUCGGCCUCGGCGGACAGUAACGGGAACCACGCCGAGCUCAGAGCUGACCAGAGCGCCGUUAACCUGAUGCUGGAGGAGCUGCGUGAGAUCAGAAGGUCUCAGAUGCACCUGGACGUGGAGAUAGAGGUUCUGAAGGAGAAACUGAGUGAUAAUCCCUUCCUUACUCAGAUGCUGGAGGAGGAGAAGUACAGAGCGGAGCGACUGGAGGAGCAGCUAAACGACCUGGUGGAACUUCAUCAGCACGAGAUGGCUGAUCUGAAGCAGGUGCUCGCCAGCCUGGAGGAGAAGGUGGCGUAUCAGGCCAACGAGAGAGACAGAGACCUGCAGGAGGCGCUGGAGUCCUGCCACUCCCGGCUGUGUAAGCUGGAGCAGCAGGUGCAGGUGGUUCAGGUGGAGAGCGACGCCGUGUUGGGUCGAGAACUCCUCGCCAAAGCCAUCAACGUUCUGCUCGCCUUCACCACGCUGCUGCUGGUCUGCGUCUCCAUGGCAACACGCUGCAUCACGCCCGGCCUGCGCGACCGCGUGCACCUACUCAUCACGGUGUUGGGCGUGGUGCUAAUAGCGCUAAUCUGGAGGAACUGGGACAGACUGUACACCACUGGAGGAACCUGAACCGUGAGCGGCAGCGCUGAGCACUGAACACACGACGUCAAGGGUCUAAACCCCACCUGCUGGAGUCUACAGUCAUGACCCUAAACCUGCACCCUAAAGAGAGGCCUUAUCCUUAAAUCUAAACCCUAAACCUGAACCCUAAACUCAGACCUCACCCCUAAAUCUAAAGCCUAAACUCAGACCUCAUUCCUAAACCUAAACCCUAAACCUGAACCCUAAAUCUAAACCCUAAACCCUAAACUCAGACCUCACCCCUAAAUCUAAACCCUAAACUCAGACCUCACCCCUAAAUCUAAACCCUAAACUCAGACCUCACCCCUAAAUCUAAACCCUAAACCCUAAACUCAGACCUCACCCCUAAAUCUAAACCCUAAACUCAGACCUCACCCCUAAAUCUAAACCCUAAACUCAGACCUCACCCCUAAAUCUAAACCCUAAACUCAGACCUCACCCCUAAAUCUAAACCCUAAACUCAGACCUCACCCCUAAAUCUAAACCCUAAACUCAGACCUCAUCCCUAAAUCUAAACCCUAAACUCAGACCUCAUCCCUAAAUCUAAACCCUAAACUCAGACCUCACCCCUAAAUCUAAACCCUAAACUCAGACCUCAUCCCUAAAUCUAAACCCUAAACUCAGACCUCAUCCCUAAAUCUAAACCCUAAACUCAGACCUCAUCCCUAAAUAUAAACCCUAAACUCAGACCUUAUCCCUAAACUCAGACCUCACCCCUAAAUCUAAACCCUAAACUCAGACCUCACCCCUAAAUCUAAACCCUAAUGCUGCCACUGAAGACACCACACAGAUAAACCUGGACCAGAAUCCUGGACUCUAAAGGUGGAUCUAAACCUAAAACCUGAACACUGAAGCUGGAUCUAAACCCUAAUCUUGGAAUUAAAAGUUGAUCCUGGACUAAAGCACAGAGCAGACGCUGGUUGAAACAGCAUCUGACGGUUGUUCUGAACACGGUUCCAGGCUUCAUCAGAACUAAACAGAAGAACGAAGUUCGGACAUCACUGAGCUUUCAUGCUUCAUCAGAACUGUAGAGGAUAUGGGGCGUCCGUUUAAUAAGAUGGCUCUCAGAACUAAAGACUGUCUAAACUUAAUGUUCCAUAUAAAAAUAAAAAAACAUAAAUAACUAGCUGCACUGUUCUGAUACAUAAAUCUGAUCUUUGGUUGCUAUUUUCUCCAUGUCUGUGUAAACCAGUUUAUCGGUUUGCUGCUCUUC